AUCAGGCUGAGGAGUCCCGAAUAGGACGAAAUACACAUCCGAGAU
rnacentral:hammerhead_ribozyme from 1 species